CUCUUUUGCCCCCAUCCACUACCAUUCCCCCUUGCUUUAAGGGAAACUUACCUUUCCUGCUCUUCACUGACUUCUUGAUUCUCGUGGCUUUGGCUGCUAUUUUGCCUUGCUUUGCUUUGCUGUGCUAUGCAUUGCUUUCCCUGUAUUUCUUGCCAUCCACUCCUUCCUUCGAGUUAUUCUUUACUUUUGACUUGGCUUUUUCUUCUUUUCUCUUUACCUUUCUUCUCUUGUCAUUAUCCUUUUUCCUUUCGUUUUUCUUUUUUCAUCUAUUAUUUUUUUCUUUUCUUUUUUCUUUUUCUUUUUUUUCAUAUUUUUCUGUCCUCUUUUUUAUUUCUAUUUUCUCUUUUUCUUUUCUUUAUCUUUUUUCUUUUUUAGCUUUUCUCUUUUUUCUCUUUUUGUUCAUUUUUUUCUUUUCUCUUUUUUCUCUUUUUUGUUCAUUUUUUUUUCUUUUCUCUUUUUUCUCUUUUUUGUUCAUUUUUUUUUCUUUUCUCUUUUUUCUCUUUUUUGUUCAUUUUUUUUUCUUUUCUCUUUUUUCUCUUUUUUGUUCAUUUUUUUUCUUUUCUCUUUUUUCUUUUUUGUUCAUUUUUUUCUUUUCUCUUUUUUUUUUUUGUUCAUUUUUUUUCUUUUCUCUUUUUUCUCUUUUUUGUUCAUUUUUUUUCUUUUCCUUUUUUCUCUUUUUCUUAUUUUUCUUUUCUUUUUUCUCUUAUUUCAUAUUUUUUGUGCUUAUUUUUUCUUUUCUUUUUUCAUCAUUGGUUUGCCUUCAGCCCUCCCCUCAGCCCUUCCCUCCCGCUCUGCUCUUCACCCAUCCCCUCCCCUCCCCAUCCCUCUUUCUCCCUUACCCUCCCCUUUCCCCUUGCCUCUGCCUCCCAUUACCUUGCCUGCCCUUCACUUACCUUCUCCUCACUUCCUGCUUCUUGAUGCUAUGGGCUUUUUGCUGCUACUCACGCCAAACCUCAGCACUUGCCUACUCUGCUUGCUGCUCUGCCAAGUUGCUCUCUACUCUGCUCACAGCUUCACGCCUACUGCCUGCCCUUCUCUGUCCCCUUCUCGUGCCCUUCAGGCUUUUCCUCCCCUUGCUGAGCAAGGCCAUGCCCGGUAGCUACCCUUGAACCUCCUCCGCCCUUUGCCCUCCUCCACAGAGAUGCUUGCUUCUGGCCAGCACUCCUGCCCGGUGCCUAGCCCACACACCUCAUCUCCUGGGGAGAUAGCAAGGUGGCCUGUAGCUACCCACACCUCCUCCCGGGCAUGGCUUCUCAGCUUUGCUUCAAGCCCAGAACCCAAAGGAGCUCCUCUUACCUUUUGGCCCACAUUCUUCUCCUCCCGCGCAGCUCCUGUGGCAAGCAGGGGCACAGCUCUGGCCAGAUUCCUCCAUUCCUGCAAGGUUGCUUUUUGUCAUUCUUUGCCUUCUUUGCUUUGCUCUCUUUUGCUGUGCUAUGCCUAGCUUUCCUACUUGCUUGCUCUGUAUUUACAUGCAUUGCUUUUUACUUGUUAUUCUCUUUUUUCCCCCCGUUUCAUUAUUUUCCCUUCAACCCUCCCCCUUCCCUCACCCUACCUCCAAUUUUUUCCUUCCUACCCUCUCUCCUCUCCCCCCCCAUCCACCCACGCCCCCACUUACUCACCCCCCUCACUUCUCCCCCCUCUCCACCCUUCCUCCCUCCCCCU
rnacentral:lncRNA from 7 species